GAAAGUAAGAAAGGGCGUACGGAGGAUGCCUUGGCUCUUACGAGCGAUGAAGGACGUGAUAAGCUGCGAUAAGCCGCGGGGAGGUGCAAAUGACCCUUGAUCCGCGGAUUUCCGAAUGGGACAACCCGCCAGACUGAAGGUCUGGCACACCGCCCAGUGCGGUGGGCAUACGCAGGGAACUGAAACAUCUUAGUACCUGCAGGAAGAGAAAAUAAACAAUGAUUCCCCCAGUAGUGGCGAGCGAACGGGGAAGAGCCCAAACCGGCGCUGUCUAGGCAGCACCGGGGUAGUAGGACCGCGUCGUGGCAAGAAGACUCCGAGGGGAAUGUGCCGGACCGCACAGCCGUAGAGGGUGAGAGCCCCGUAGCCGAAGGAGUCGGAAGCCUAGCGGUAUCCUGAGUAGCGCGGGACACGAGAAAUCUUGCGUGAAUCAGCCGGGCCCAUCCGGUAAGGCUAAAUAUAGAGUAAGAGACCGAUAGUGCACAAGUACCGUGAGGGAAAGGUGAAAAGCACCUCGAGCAGAGGAGUGAAAGAGAUCCUGAAACCGUACGCCUACAAGCGGUCGGAGCGGUGCGCAAGCGCCGUGACGGCGUGCCUUUUGCAUAAUGAGCCUGCGAGUUGCGGUCGUUGGCAAGGUUAAGGGCCAGAAGGCCCGGAGCCGAAGCGAAAGCGAGUCUGAAGAGGGCGCAUAGUCAGCGGACGCAGACGCGAAACCAAGUGAAAGCGUUGAAAAGCUUCUGGAUGAGGUGAGGGUAGGAGUGAAAGGCCAAUCAAACUUGGAGAUAGCUCGUACUCCCCGAAAUGCAUUUAGGUGCAGCCUUGUGAGAGAGAUGAAGAGGUAGAGCGACUGAUUGGAUGCGAGGGCUUCACCGCCUAUCAAGUCCAGACAAACUCCGAAUGCUUCAUUUUGCUUCACGGGAGUAAGGGUGCGGGUGCUAAGGUCCGUAUCCUAAAGGAGAACAAUCCGGACCGCCGGCUAAGGCCCCGGAAUGCGUGUUAAGUUAAACUAACGAAGUUGGAUUCCUGAAACAGCUAGGAUGUUGGCUUGGAAGCAGCCAUUCAUUCAAAGAGUGCGUAACAGCUCACUAGUCGAGGGAUCCGGCGUGGAUAAUAAUCGGGUAUGAAACACGCUGCCGAAGCCGCGGGAUACGCAAGUAUCGGUAGGGGAGCAUUGCAUGCGCGUUGAAUGCUGGGGAUGACCCCCGCUGGAGCGCAUGGAAAAGCAAAUGCAGGCAUAAGUAACGAGAAAGAGGGUGAGAUGCCCUCUCGCCGAAAGACUAAGGUUUCCUGAACAACGUUAAUCGGUUCAGGGUAAGUCGGGACCUAAGGAUAAGCCGAAAGGCGAGGCCGAUGGAAGAAACGUUUAAUAUUACGUUACUGGCGCAGCGCGUGACGUGGAGACGGUGUAGUGAAACCUCCGCGGCCUUACGGAAUAGGCCGUUGAAGGGUGUAGGCGCAGACGCAGGCAGGCAAAUCCACCUGCGGAGCCGAACCUGAUAGUAUGUGAAGCCUUCGGGCGGAUCAAGAGCGAGGGUAACCAUACAUCCGAGAAAAUCCGCUAAACAUCAACGCUGCGGCACCCGUACCGCAAACGGACACACGUAGUCGGGUUGAAAAUACUAAGGCGCUUGGAAGAUUCAUGGUUAAGGAACUAGGCAAAUUAACCCUGUAACUUCGGGAAAAAGGGUCCUCUCCGGUCAAAACGGAGAGGCGCAGAGAAUAGGUCCAGGCAACUGUUUACCAAAAACACAGGGCUGUGCGAAAUAAAGAGAUGAAGUAUACAGCCUGACACCUGCCCGGUGCCGUAACUAUAACGGUCCUAAGGUAGCGAAAUUCCUUGUCGGGUAAGUUCCGACCUGCACGAAUGGUGUAAUGAUCCGGACACUGUCUCAACCAUGAUUCCAGUGAAAUUGUAGUAUCGGUGAAGAUGCCGAUUACCCGCGAUGGGACGAAAAGACCCCGUGAACCUUUACUAUAGCUUAACGUUGCAGCCGGGCUGCCGAUGUGUAGGAUAGGCCGGAGGCUGAGAAGUAUCCACGCCAGUGGGUAUGGAGCCGCUGUUGAAAUACGGCCCUUUGGUAGUUUGGCUGCUAACCUGCUAAGAAGCGGGGACACCGUUUGGUGGGUAGUUUGACUGGGGUGGUCGCCUCCAAAAGAGUAACGGAGGCUUCUAAAGGUACCCUCAGACCGAUUGGUAACCGGUCGCAGAGUGCAAUGGCAGAAGGGUGCUUGACUGGGAGGCCGACAAGCCGAGCAGGUAGGAAACUAGAGCAUAGUGAUCCGGCGGUUCCGCAUGGAAGGGCCGUCGCUCAAAGGAUAAAAGGUACUCCGGGGAUAACAGGCUGAUCCCUCCCAAGAGCUCAUAUCGANNNNNNNNNNNNNNNNNNNNNNNNNNNNNNACGCGAGCUGGGUUCAGAACGUCGUGAGACAGUUCGGUCUCUAUCUAUCGUGGGCGCAGGAGAUUUGCGUGGCUCUGACACUAGUACGAGAGGACCGUGCCGGACUGACCUCUGGUAAACCGGUUGUGCCGCCAGGUGCAUUGCCGGGUAUCCAAGUCGGGAUCGGAUAAGCGCUGAAAGCAUCUAAGUGCGAAGCCGGCCACAAGAUUAGAUCUCCCCAUAAGGGUCGUUGAAGACGACAACGUUGAUAGGGUGCAGGUGUAAAGACGGUGACGUCAAAGCCGAGCACUACUAAUUGCCCGAGACUUUCCUGUC
rnacentral:rRNA from 1 species